ensembl:lncRNA
GUGCCAGGAUCCUCUCGCCAUCUCUGAGGGGCUGUUCCCCUCACGGUGCUGGGACCCUCCUGCGAAGGCCAUUCCCGCAGGGUUGCUGGGGAGGAAGAGCAGCCCUGGGGAGAGAUGAGAUGUGAGGCCCGAGCACUGAAUGCUCAGGGAAAAUGACCAUGCAUUUGUGUAAUCUGAUGCAAAUGGAUGUAUAUUUAUGCAAAUGUGUGUUAAGUAGAUUCUACUGAUAGUCUGCCUUCAAAUAUUGCUUUUGAUCUUUAAGACCCUGAGAACAUGUUUAAAGGAGCCAGGAUCCAGCUAUUCCAUUGGAACAGUUCUCUACUGUGUAAUGGAAAUGGAGAAACCCAGGCAAUGGUGUGGAUUGCCCCAGGAGAAAGAGGGCUGAUUUUUCCUGCCAUCAUUAGCAAAGUUUGGGAUUUCAUGUGCAAACAGGUAGCAUGGUUCAUCUUGGCUGGACAGGCCAUUGAGUUCUUGGAGCCUGGGCUGUCUGUGCAUCACCAGGGCACAAUGUGCUGAUUUCCUCUGGCAAGACAAUGAGCUUUUUCUGAAAGCACGAGUUUGAAAAAUGGAAGUCUUUCAAGAAUAAUCACUCUCUAAACACUUAAUGCUGCUGUGACAGCACUGUCUAUCACUCAAGAUUUAACUUUGGAAAUCCACAUAACACAGAGAAAAAAAAACCUUUUCCAAUUAGCCGAGACUGGAGGCAGAUUAGUUCUUGACUGCUGCAUUGAGGGAUGCCAGGGUGUGUAUUAAUGGACCACAGGAGAUGACUUCUGACCAUAAUUCUGACUGCAUUGGGUGGCGCAUAAAAUGGCAACAGCAGCUCUCCCACCAAGAGAUGCAGGACCAGCCAGUUAAUGUGAGCUACCCUUGGGUGUAUCUCGUAGGUCUUAGUGAUCUACAAACCUGUCAAGUGCAAAAUAUGUCAUCAUCACUCUGUUAUAUAGAUGGGAAGGUUGAGGUGUGGAAAGGUUAAUAGAUUGCCCAAGGUCAUGCCUUUCUUUAGGCGGAUCUCAGAAUAGCACCCAUGCCUCUGUCUCUACUUAUAUGGUCAUGUGCAUGUGUUCAGGUCUCAGCCACAGUCUGUUGGAUAAACUUUUCCUCUUUUUUAAAGUCUUUGGAACCUAAUUGACACACAUCUCCGUGAUCACUGGUGUUGCAGAAUUAACAGCCUUUAAAACCUUUUGUAGUGUAAUUCUCUUCAUUAGAGCGAAGAGGUGGUUUUCCCCAGUCAGCAAGAUUUUCGUGUUUAGAUCCACAGUGUAGCAAGGCUUGUAGCUGUUCUUGCAUCAAGGGUUUAAUGUUGCUUUGUUCAGAUCUGCAGCACAGAUUUCUAUCACAUUAGCUAACAGGGUACAUUGUUAUACUGCUAUAUGUCAUGAGAUCUUGACAUUAAAGGAUGCAGAAUAAAGAAAUAACCAGAUGCA